CCUACGGGUGGCAGCAGUAAGGGAUAUUGGUCAAUGGGGGAAACCCUGAACCAGCAACGCCGCGUGAGGGAAGACGGUUUUCGGAUUGUAAACCUCUGUCCUCUGUGAAGAUGAUGACGGUAGCAGAGGAGGAAGCUCCGGCUAACUACGUGCCAGCAGCCGCGGUAAUACGUAGGGAGCGAGCGUUAUCCGGAUUUAUUGGGUUUAAAGGGUGCGUAGGCGGAUCGUUAAGUCAGUGGUCAAAUUGAGGGGCUCAACCCCUUCCCGCCAUUGAAACUGGCGCUCUUGAGUGGAAGAGAAGUAUGCGGAAUGCGUGGUGUAGCGGUGAAAUGCAUAGAUAUCACACAGAACACCGAUUGCGAAGGCAUCUCACGAAUCCGCGAUUGACGCUGAUGCACGAAAGCGUGGGUAUCAAACAGGAUUAGAUACCCGAGUAGUC
rnacentral:rRNA from 1 species